GCGAACGCUGGCGGCAGGCCUAACACAUGCAAGUCGAACGAACUCUUCGGAGUUAGUGGCGGACGGGUGAGUAACACGUGGGAACGUGCCUUUAGGUUCGGAAUAACUCAGGGAAACUUGUGCUAAUACCGAAUGUGCCCUUCGGGGGAAAGAUUUAUCGCCUUUAGAGCGGCCCGCGUCUGAUUAGCUAGUUGGUGAGGUAAAGGCUCACCAAGGCGACGAUCAGUAGCUGGUCUGAGAGGAUGAUCAGCCACAUUGGGACUGAGACACGGCCCAAACUCCUACGGGAGGCAGCAGUGGGGAAUCUUGCGCAAUGGGCGAAAGCCUGACGCAGCCAUGCCGCGUGAAUGAUGAAGGUCUUAGGAUUGUAAAAUUCUUUCACCGGGGACGAUAAGGACGGUACCCGGAGAAGAAGCCCCGGCGAACUUCGU
rnacentral:rRNA from 1 species